ACAUUUUGCUUCGUAUGUAGUCUACUAGUGAAAUCUCUAAAAGGUCUUAUAUUUAGGAACGGAGGGAGUAUAAGCUGUCUAUAUCGCUAUCUAAAGAUGACAUGAAAAGUUGCUAUAGACGGAUGUUAUAAAUAUCAGCGCCAAAAUAUACAUGAUAACAUAUAUGCAAAUAGUAUGAUAAUUUAUGCAGAAUGAAGUCGAUAACUUAAAUACAAACACCGCGGUAACAUUUGACCAAGGAAGAAAGAAUUGUCGAAAACAUAUCUUGAUACGAAGCAUCCCUCGAUCAUCCCCAUGGGCACACCUCAAACUACAAGUGGUCCCAUGACAAGAGCUCGCGCAGGUGCCAUUGAAGUACCAGGGUCAACAUCUCCAAGACACUACGGAAAUGGACUCGAAGACGAACGAGUGAGAUAACCCAAGCAAGGAGAAGUCCACAGGAGCCGAGAACUUCCGGUGCCCGGACCUCCCCCCCCCUCAGCCUCUGCAAAUGCAGCCUCGACAACUUUCGGCCUAGUCCGGAACAAGCCCAGAACCUGCCCAAAACUUCCGCCCCCUGACGUCCGGCCAGCCCGGAACUUCCGGCCACGCUCAACCUCGGCGCCUCGACUAGCGACAUCUAUCGGGAAAGCCCGGAACUUCCGGCCUGCCUGCCCGCAUACACUCAGGCCCGAGUGCCCAUGUACCCCUCCGGCCUCCAUUUCCGACUUAGACUAUAAAUACUCUUCUCCUACCUUCGUUUUAGGGUUAGCUAAUGUUUAGACAACCAUUUCUUGAGCUUAGCUCCAUCUACUAUCCUCCUCCCAUGGAGAUGUCCUCCAUGUGGGAAGAUCCAUAGUGAUGCCAAGGCCCCUAAUCUAGGGAAGAUCCCCUUGCGAAUACAAGGCCCCUCUCGUAGGGAAGACUAUCGUUACGUGUAUCCUUUUGUUGACUUUGGAUUGUGUAUCCCCAUGUGUUUGUGUGGAUCUAGUGGAUGUGUGAUUUGAGGAUUGUUCUUGA